rnacentral:tRNA from 1 species
UCAAGAGGCUGAAGAGGACGGUUUGCUUUGGUUUGGGACCAAGGUGUCGCAGGUUCGAAUCCUGUCUUCCCGAU